CCACGCAGGAAGCUAAUUAGUGUGUUCAGUGGGUAGCUAUCAGCCAAACUUGGAAGAGUUGGGAUAAUUCUACCUGAGCCUUCUCUUUGAUCUCCCCUUCUGCAUGAUAAGUGAAAAUAGUGUAUAGCCGGGCUGGCUGUGGAGUUUAAUUUAAUCAUCUGAUGAUACUUAUUUUCACAAACAUGAAUUCAAGGAACAAUUAUCAGAAAGGCUUCAUCUUGUGCUGAACGUUCCAGUUAAUGGCCUUUCUUUGAGGAAAUAGCUUCUAUGUAGGGAGUCAGUAAUUAAAACGUGUGAAAAAAGGCCACUUUUUCAGAGGCAGUGGAAGACGGUGGGUCUAAUGCUCAGCUGGUAUGAGCUGUCAAAGUCAGUCAAUGGCCACAAUAAAUAGGCAUUGCUUCUUCCACAUUAUGCCAGCAAAGGAUAUGCCCAGAGAGUUGUUGAGAGUUUCCCAGUUUGAGAAAGAUGUUUGGAUUCUUUUCAACAGGAGCCAAACUUAGGAAUACAUGGUGCAAUGAUCUGGUCUUUGAAAGAUGAUUCUGCAGUACUCCUGGAAGAUGUUCAGAUUGAAGGAGCACUGCAAACUGUCCCACAAGGAAAGCAGCUACACAUACAGACUGCAGGAAGAAAAGUCUCUACUAGAGAAAUCGACUAGAGGAAUCAGAAAGGAAGAGAUGGAUUUUUAUACAGCACACACUACGUGCCUGCUCUUCUCCCCUGACUGCUGUGUCCCCACAGGUAAUGGACCAGCUCGCCCUGUGUACGAUUUGGUUGGGCCUCAAAGGGAAACUUUCAGUUUGUAACUGAAAGAGGGGCAAAGUUCUGAAACACUGUCAGACACAUGAGUCCUUGAGAUUCUCUUUCCUUCUGAGGAGCCCGAGAGAUAAAUGUCUAAGUACCAUUUGAGAAAAGGCUGUCUGGUGAUAAAUAACGUGGCAGGUAAUGAUACUGCCUUGUCCUUUGUAGGAUCUUGGUGCAUACAGCUGAAUUGAAUAAAAAGAUCAAUCCUUGACUGUUACCCAGUGAAGAAGCCAUUCCUCUUUCGGAGCAGGACUUGGAAUGUAUGGUGGUCUAGUAAUAUGUUAUUCUUGAAGGCAAAGAUCAAUUAAUUUUCAGCCAGAUUAACUGGUAUUUUUUGUGCCAAAGGCUCUCAUUUAUCCCUGCUGUCAGUGAAGUGAGAUAAUCUAUAUAAAUACAACUUCCUUAAUUGUGCCGGUUACAUUUUGCAGUAUACACUAAAUGAUCGAUGUGUAAGGAGAUGAAAAACUACUGGUGGAAGCUGUCCAAACACUUGCCUUUUGCUGUGGAUUGUGAAUCCUCUUUAUGGAAUCAAUUCAGCACCACAUCUUCAUGUAGUUCCACUUCAGCACUAACCUGAUCUCUGCUGCUCAGCACAGCACCACCGACUCCCCUGGGGCGCAGCCAGCGAGACACCACCAUGCCCGUGAGUUUUGACAUGUGCGUGGUGCUACUCAGAGGUGGUCUGCGAACAGGGCACGUCAGAAUUCAGGUGCAUCCCUAAUCCGGACGUGGCUAUUUCUUGCCGUGAGGUUAUUUUUACAGGACCAGUAUUGCCGGGUGGGUUGCCAUGCUACCUGAAAUAAGCCAUUUGUAAUUGUCUUGUAACUCUUUUGUUUUCCUUGGGUUACAGGUUCUGCUAGAGAUCCUUUUGCUGCCCUGUGGCGAUAUGAAUUCAUGCACCACGCUGCUCCUGCAGCCUUCACGCCUAGGUAAGUGAGCUUGCACUUGGGACUGUUAAAAUCCGGUUAGGAUUUUGCAUUUCCCAUCUCUCCUGUAGUCAAGUGCCAGCCCCCUGAGAAUCUCGGCUGCUUUAAACUUGGA
rnacentral:lncRNA from 13 species